GCGCACUUGUUGAGUUUGGGAACUUUCAGAGGCUUGAACUUCUCACUUUGGACGCAGCGGAGCUCUCACAUCAUCAUCAUCAUCAGAUUCAGGCGACGUGGAUUUAUGCUGACUUUUUACGUGUAGGACUAUGUUUUGCUUUGUCGAAGUUGAUGUGGAUUGUCUUUAGUGUUUUCCGCGUUAGACGCACACAGCGUGCGCGAGUAAUAAAUAACAUAACUGUGAGGAUGUGGAUGCGCCUUUAAUGCAUAUACAGAUUCAUAUCUGAAGGAGAGUUAGUGUUUGUGGGGCUAUUGGGAUAUGGGACUAUUUAUGCACUACCAUUGGAUUUUAAAUGCUCUCUAAAGGGACACUCGGUGGUGCAGUGAAUGGAGAACAUCGCAGCUUUGCCAAGAUGCAUCAUCAGCCCAAAUCCGAUGGGACGCCACAGCAUGCUGUCAUCUGUUCAGAUAGAGUGACAUUUGUCUGGAAUCUGCACAAUCCUGAUCUCACCCUCUGACGGGACACCCACGGACCCUUCGCAGACUUUCUGAUGCAUAUUACAAUUGCAAAUCGCUUUGCCUGAUAGAGUUUCUGAGGAACAACUAACCUGGUUAGUGGCAUUAGGUCUUUGGAAGAUAUAAUGCUUUUGCAUCUAAAUGAGAGAGAG
rnacentral:lncRNA from 1 species